GCCGGUUGCUCAGGGGACCAGGGAACCUUGUGGGAGGGGCCUCGCUCCUCAGCUCAUGCAUAAAAGGAAAUUAAGACCAGACCCAAAUUUCUGGAAUUUUACAUAGAUUCUCAGAUCUGGGCUGAUGGCAAAAUAUCUUUAGCCAACGAUGAAAGACAUGUCAUGAUCGUCUGGAAAACCCUGGGAGUCUUCUGGUCAGAAACCUUGUCCUGGAAAGGAAGAUUUGCACCCCGCUCGUCCCCCCGCCCCCCAAGCUCUGACAGUCGGUUUCUCAGCAGGCCCUUUGGUCACAUAAGUGUAAUAAAUUAGCUCAGCAAACCGACUAUCACCCCCGGAGAGUCCCCGAGCGGCUUCGACUACGCCCGGCAUGACCCCCCAGCAGCAGGAUUGACACGGACACCACGACUAGGUUUAGGAAAAUAAAUGAACGUGGAGGACACACGUUUACCACUCCUGGAUGCCACGGAGAUAAGAAUAUAAUCUCGGGAAAGACGGAAGGAGGCCACUUGGGCCCGGGGAGUGGAAACGUCCACAUCUCUACAUAGAGAUCCUCACUGGUAACAACAUCCUCCUCUCUACUAGCUGUUGGGCCAGGAAACGUGGAAAGGGUAGGUCAGGUGAGCCUGCGCAGGUCCAGCCUGAUGCCCGCGUCACUGGUUCUCCUCCACUCAAAACAUGGGGCACGUUAUCUUUUUAGUAAUGGGCCAGGCCUGCUUCCCCACGCGGGGUGCGUCGUGUGGGAUAACGAGGAGCUCGUAAGUUCAGUGGAAAAGCUGUGACUAUCGUGCUCCCGUGACCACAUCCGAGCCAGCGCACCGGCCAUGCACCUGCUCUAUUGUACAAUUGCUGUUUCUGGAGAUAGCAAGCGUUACAAGCCCCAGGACCUUUGCAUGCACAGCUUCCUAAAAGCACAACUCUCGUCCUCACUCCAGUGUGCUCCAGCCUCACCGGUUUAUUGUUCGCUGAAUCAGUGCCCCCCAGCCCCCCGACUCAGACCAAGAGCCCUCCACCAGGAAGAAUCCCAGGCCUUAGGACCUCGCUGCUGCACCGUCAGUUACCUGAAAGUUCACACCCCUGCGGAAGCUACAACUGUGGGAUAGCGUGUGGGCUUCCACAGACUGGCUCAGCCCACGGACCCAGGCAUCCUUUUUCUCCGUGUCUGGUUCCCAUAGUGAAGCAGUAUAUCCACUCGCUUUUGCUUGUUUUGCAUCAAAUCCACAUAAAUGGCUCAGUGUAAUAAACGACGACAACAACUCUGGAAUAAUCAUUAAAAUAUACUGGAAAAGCCUUCCGGCGGCAAUAUUCCAAUACACAUGAGUAGGGAUGACUUUUAAUGCUCUUCUCUAUUUUAAGUUUUCAGAUUUCUCCCUUGGAAUCACAUCUUCCUGAUACUGUUUAAAAAAAAAAAAAAACACACACAAAUGAUACAAACCAUUUCAAACACAUCUUAUGAAA